rnacentral:lncRNA from 1 species
UUGCUUACGUUCUUCUUUGUCACAUCGCAUCAACUUAGCAUGCGCCUUGUUUCUGAACAAGCGCUUCAAAUGUGGUAUUACAGAUAAAUACCACAUCACCUUUGUUGGAACUCUCUUCUUCGCAGGCUGCCGCUCAACAUCACCUGGGUCAUCUCGCCUGAUCUUAUACCACAACGCCUCGCAAACAAGACAAGCAUCCAAGUUCUCAUAUUCCUCGCCGCGAUAAAGGAUACAAUCAUUAAGACAUGCGUGUAUCUUCUGCACAUCCAAUCCUAGAAGGAAAAAAACCUUUUUUUGCUUCAUAUGUGGAUGAGGGAAGUUUGUUAUCCUCGGGAAGCACGUUCUUUACGAUUUUCAAUAGCUCCCCAAAUAUCUUAUAGAUCAC